rnacentral:sRNA from 1 species
GCCUGUAAUCCCAGCUACUCGGGAGGCUGAGGCUGGAGGAUCGCUUGAGCUCAGGAGUUCUGGGCUGCAGUGCGCUAUGCCGAUCGGGUGUCCGCACUAAGUUCGGCAUCAAUAUGGUGACCUCCCGGGAGGGGGGACCACCAGGUUGCCUAAGGAGGGGUGAACUGGCCCAGGUUGGAAUUGUUGCUUUUGAACUGUGGUAUUGGAGAAGACUCUUGAGAGUCCCUUGGACUGCAAGGAGAUCAAAGCAAAGCAGUCAAUCCU